rnacentral:rRNA from 1 species
GACGAACGCUGGCGGCGUGCUUAACACAUGCAAGUCGAGCGGUAAGGCCCUUUCGGGGGUACACGAGCGGCGAACGGGUGAGGUAACACGUGGGUGACCGUGCCCUUACGCUCUGGGGAUAAGCCUGGGGAAACUGGGUCUAAUACCGGAUAUGACUCCAUAACGCAUGUUGUGGGGUGGAAAGCCUUGUGCGGCUAGGGAUGGGCCCGCGGCCUAUCAGCUUGUUGGUGGGGUGAUGGCCACCAAGGCGACGACGGGUAGCCGGCCUGAGAGGGCGACCGGCCACACUGGGACUGAGACACGGCCCAGACUCCUACGGGAGGCAGCAGUGGGGAAUCUUGCGCAAUGGGCGAAAGCCUGACGCAGCGACGCCGCGU